rnacentral:tRNA from 1 species
AUAAGAUUAAGUUAUUAGACUGUAUGUUUUCAAAACAUUUAGAGACUUUUGUCAUCUUAUG